CGAAGUGCCCUCCCGAGCCGGAAGAUGGAAGCGUCCCAACUCCUAUCCUUUCAGCUCAGAGGGCACCCUCUAUCUCCGGGCUUCCGUAGAGCCGACCCUCAUCGGUGGAUCGAG
rnacentral:sRNA from 1 species